rnacentral:rRNA from 1 species
GAUUGAACGCUGGCGGCAGGCCUAACACAUGCAAGUCGAACGGUAACAGGAAGCAGCUUGCUGCUUCGCUGACGAGUGGCGGACGGGUGAGUAAUGUCUGGGAAACUGCCUGAUGGAGGGGGAUAACUACUGGAAACGGUAGCUAAUACCGCAUAACGUCGCAAGACCAAAGAGGGGGACCUUCGGGCCUCUUGCCAUCGGAUGUGCCCAGAUGGGAUUAGCUAGUAGGUGGGGUAACGGCUCACCUAGGCGACGAUCCCUAGCUGGUCUGAGAGGAUGACCAGCCACACUGGAACUGAGACACGGUCCAGACUCCUACGGGAGGCAGCAGUGGGGAAUAUUGCACAAUGGGCGCAAGCCUGAUGCAGCCAUGCCGCGUGUAUGAAGAAGGCCUUCGGGUUGUAAAGUACUUUCAGCGGGGAGGAAGGCGAUAAGGUUAAUAACCUUGUCGAUUGACGUUACCCGCAGAAGAAGCACCGGCUAACUCCGUGCCAGCAGCCGCGGUAAUACGGAGGGUGCAAGCGUUAAUCGGAAUUACUGGGCGUAAAGCGCACGCAGGCGGUCUGUCAAGUCGGGAUGUGAAAUCCCCGGGCUCAACCUGAGAACUGCAUUCGAAACUGGCAGGCUAGAGUCUUGUAGAGGGGGGUAGAAUUCCAGGGUGUAGCGGUGAAAUGCGUAGAGAUCUGGAGGGAAUACCGGGUGGCGAAGGCGGCCCCUGGACAAAGACUGACGCUCAGGUGCGAAAGCGUGGGGGAGCAAACAGGAUUAGAUACCCUGGGUAGUCCACGCCGUAAACGAUGUCGACUUGGAGGUUGUGCCCUUGAGGCGUGGCUUCCGGAGCUAACGCGUUAAGUCGACCGCCUGGGGAGUACGGCCGCAAGGUUAAAACUCAAAUGAAUUGACGGGGGCCCGCACAAGCGGUGGAGCAUGUGGUUUAAUUCGAUGCAACGCGAAGAACCUUACCUACUCUUGACAUCCAGAGAACUUUCCAGAGAUGGAUUGGUGCCUUCGGGAACUCUGAGACAGGUGCUGCAUGGCUGUCGUCAGCUCGUGUUGUGAAAUGUUGGGUUAAGUCCCGCAACGAGCGCAACCCUUAUCCUUUGUUGCCAGCGGUUAGGCCGGGAACUCAAAGGAGACUGCCAGUGAUAAACUGGAGGAAGGUGGGGAUGACGUCAAGUCAUCAUGGCCCUUACGAGUAGGGCUACACACGUGCUACAAUGGCGCAUACAAAGAGAAGCGACCUCGCGAGAGCAAGCGGACCUCAUAAAGUGCGUCGUAGUCCGGAUUGGAGUCUGCAACUCGACUCCAUGAAGUCGGAAUCGCUAGUAAUCGUGGAUCAGAAUGCCACGGUGAAUACGUUCCCGGGCCUUGUACACACCGCCCGUC